rnacentral:rRNA from 1 species
AUUGAACGCUGGCGGCAGGCCUAACCCAUGCAAGUCGAGCGAGCGGCGGACGGGUGAGUAAUGUCUGGGGACUGCCCGAUAGAGGGGGAUAACUACUGGAAACGGAGUCUAAUACCGCAUACUAUCAGAUAUCGCAUAUGGGAUUAGCUAGUAGGUGGGGUAAAGGCUCACCUAGGCGACGAACUCUAGCUGGUCUGAGAGGUUGAUCAGCCACACGUGGACUGAGACACGGUCCAGACUCCUACGGAGGCAGCAGUGGGGAAUAUUGCACAAUGGGCGCAAGCCUGAUGCAGCCAUGCCGCGUGUAUGAAGAAGGCCUUAGGGUUGGAAAGUACUUUCAGCGGGGAGGCGUUACCCGCAGAAGAAGCACCGGCUAACUCCGUGCCAGCAGCCGCGGUAAUUC